UACGUAGGUGGCAAGCGUUGUCCGGAAUUAUUGGGCGUAAAGCGCGCGCAGGCGGUCCUUUAAGUCUGAUGUGAAAGCCCACGGCUCAACCGUGGAAGGUCAUUGGAAACUGGGGGACUUGAGUACAGAAGAGGAAAGCGGAAUUCCACGUGUAGCGGUGAAAUGCGUAGAGAUGUGGAGGAACACCAGUGGCGAAGGCGGCUUUCUGGUCUGUAACUGACGAUGAGGCGCGAAAGCGUGGGGAGCAAACAGG
rnacentral:rRNA from 1 species